UGCUUUCCCUUCCCCUCGAAGCAAACUUCCCUCACCUUUCCUUUUCAUUCGAGCGCACGCAACACCUCCCCCCUUCCCUAUCGCUUCCUCAGACAGGCCGCCGUCCCAUCUCCCCUUCCCUCUCCUCUCUCUUGCCCCGUUUCUCCUUUGCCUAAACUCCAGAUCCAUGGAGGUAGCUGACAUGGUCGUACGCACUAGAUCGGCAGCCAAGCAGUCUGCAAUGACACCAAGAAAGCCGAGAUCCAAAGGCGCCGCCCCAGUCUCUCCCCGCCAUCGGUCGCAUGCCCAGGCUGAAGCCUUCUUUUGAUGGUAGCAAAUAAAUCAAGGGAACCAUGGCCCAUGGGUGAUGCUUUGGGAAAGAUAGAUAUACAUAAAUUUGGACUAUUUGGUGCCAUCAUACUUCUAUGAUUACCACGAUGAGCACAUUCUUUCUUAAUUCCUUUGUACUCCCUCCGUCCCAUAAUGUAAGACGUUUUUUGGCUCUAGUGUAGUGUCAAAAAACGUCUUACAUUAUGGGACGGAGGGAGUACUUGAUAUAUUUUGUUCUCAAUUAAACCACCCAUUUGAGAUUGAAACAUCACGGUGAUUCGGGUGUUCUUUUAAGACUUGGGUCAACAACUUCAGGUUGAGUUAGUAUUGUCGUCUCAAUAUGAUAUGUCAUUUUUAUUGUCUUGGAAUUUUUCUGGGACACAAUAGGUCUUAUAUCGCUGCUAUUUGAUGAAUACUUUAUUUCAAACUGGACAUCUAAGUAGCCGGCAAAUGCAGUCCAACAAGGUGCAUGGCAAUAAAUACGUUUUUGUUAUGUUUCGCAGCAAGAGACUUUAGUAGUUUAAUAUUCAUCUGAUGCUUCCUGAUUAUAUAUGUAUGUUGUCAAAAGGGGCUAAUCUAUUAUUUUGACUACUUUAGUGGCUACAUUCUGCAACACAUCAUUGUCUUUAUUUGAUGGUGGUUCAGAAUUUUGCACUGAUUACCUCCAAUUGUUCUUUUACAUCUCAGGUAAAUGAAUUUCCAUAUUUUAUAUUAAAGGAAGUUUAAAGAAUAUUGCUUUUGUUGGAUGUUACAUGCCUUACAAAAGGAAACACAAGAGGAGUUGCAUUGGUGAUCAUAGGAUCGAUGAGGAUAGCUGUGCAGCAAGGGCACAAAACUCUAAUGCUUCUUUUGGUUCAUAGGAUAGGAUUAUCAUAGGAAUAGGAAUCUUGUAGGAAAUGAGAUGACAUGUAUCUCAAAUCCUAUGAGUAGGAAUAGGAAACAAGAUGUCAUUUGGUUGACACCAAAGUAAUUUUUCCAUUGAGUCUAGGCUCUUUUUUAUUUUCCUAUGAAAUGUGGAGGAUAGGAACCAAUCCUAUGUAGGAAUAGGAAUCCAUUCCUAUGAACCAAAAGGCUCUAAAGGAAAAAAUCCUAUAAGAAUCCUAUCCUCUAGAAUUCCUAUGAAAUUCCUCUAAACCAAAGGAGGCCUAAGUGGGUGGCGGCAGGGGUGUUUAACAAAUUGAAGGGGGUCCUGUGAAUUCUUGAGUUGUUGCUAUGUGCAAUGAUGGUACAUAUAAUGUUGGUAAAGUUUUUUUUCUUCUUUUGAUUUGAA